GUUGGACGAUCUGGAGAGAGGCGCCAUCUGGCGUCCACCGAAGGAGAAACCUCGCGCUCCGGCGUGAGGGAAGCUCUCAGGUAACCGCGACAGAUGGGGGUAG
rnacentral:ncRNA from 2 species